rnacentral:rRNA from 1 species
UACAGAGGGGGCAAGCGUUGUUCGGAAUUACUGGGCGUAAAGCGUGCGCAGGCGGUUCGUUGUGUCGGCGGUGAAAGCCCCGGGCUCAACCUGGGAAUGGCCGUUGAAACUGGCGAACUGGAGUGUGGCAGAGGGGGGGUGGAAUUCCGCGUGUAGCAGUGAAAUGCGUAGGAGAUGCGGGAGGAACACCGAUGGCGAAGGCAGCCCCCUGGGCUGACACUGACGCUCAGGCACGAAAGCGUGGGGAGCAAACAGG